rnacentral:rRNA from 1 species
UAAAAUUUAAAAUUAAAAUACUAAAAUAGUAAAUAAUUAUUUAUUGAAACUUAAAUAAUUUGGCGGUAUUUUAGUUCAUUUAGAGGAAUCUGUUUAAUAAUUGAUAUUCCACGAAUAAAUUUACUUAAUUUAUAAUUUUGUAUAUCGUUGUUAUAAAAAUAUUUUUUAAUAAAAUUAAUAUUUAAAAAUUAUUAUAUAAGUUUAAAUCAGAUCAAGAUGCAGAUUAUAAUUAAGAAUAUAAUGGAUUACAAUAAAAUUAUUUAAAUGAAUAUUAAUUUGUAAAUAUUAAUUGAAAGUGGAUUUAAAUGUAAUUUUAUUUAGUUUAAUAAAAUGAUUAAAAAUUAAAAUAUGU